UUAAUUCACUAUUGUAAGUCACUUUGGAUUAAAGUGUCCGCUAAAUGGCUUAUA
rfam:Salmo salar isolate Sally breed double haploid chromosome ssa26, whole genome shotgun sequence.